rnacentral:lncRNA from 1 species
AAAUCCCACAGUACAUUCAUAGCUCUCUCCCCUGUAACACCAAAGCAAAAACAGGUCCUUGUAAUAAAAAAAACCAGAUCUUCUAAAAAUACAAAGAAACGUGAAGAAUUCAGUCAGAGUAGAGAUAACCAAAAUGAAAGCGCAGAUUCUUGUGCACUAAGUUGUAGGGAAUUCCUCAUCCUUGCUUCACUCUUACUUGCAUUCCUGAUACAUAUACAGAGUAAACUCUGACAUUAUCCAAAAUCCCAAGCUAAGUAUUUGAACCUCGGGCUGCCAUGGGUUCCACAGUAAACCAUACAUUUAUAGGCUCUCUCCCCUGUAACACCCACAAAGAAAACUCAAAGUAUAUAUUGAGUAUCAAAAAAAGACUGAAAUGUAAAGAUUCUUAGAAGAGUUGACCAAAUUUUCAUCCAGACUUAUAUCUUUAUCUUUGCCAUUACAUGAAUCAAAGAAGGACUAUUUGGAAACAAAUAAAACCAUGAUCAAAGAACAAUUAUUUGGGAACAAAUACAUAUGCGUAUAAUAUAAUAAAAAAAAAUAAAAAGACCAAUUAUAUCCCAAGGAUGAUUCACCGUUAUCUGAUAAUCUCGUCCAAGCUUCAAAGAAUAACCUAGGCACCUUUUGAAGGCAGGGAGUGCGACAACGUACACGCUUCCAUUUAUAAAUUCACAUUGCCAAAUUAAUCCCAGCAUAGAGGCAAUCAUCUUUAAUUCACAUUGCCAAACAAAACCAUGAUCAAAGAACAAUUACUUGGGAACAAAUACAUAUGCAUAUAAUAAC